UCUCCUGUGGCUUAGUUGGCAAUAGCUUCAUGCUUAUAACGUGAUGGUCGCGGGUUCGAUCCCCGCCAGGAGAA
rnacentral:tRNA from 3 species